rnacentral:rRNA from 1 species
UUCUUGGAGAGUUUGAUCCUGGCUCAGGACGAACGCUGGCGGCGUGCCUAAUACAUGCAAGUCGAGCGAAUCAAUAG